rnacentral:rRNA from 1 species
GCCGAAAAUCUAGUUUACCCACCCCCCCCACCAACCACCACUCACCCAAACCAAAACAUUUGACACGACAAGUAGACGAGAUCGAACAUCCACCAAAACACGAUAGAAAUAGUACCGCAAGGGAAAGAUGAAAUAUGCACUCAAGCCCAAAAAAGCAAAGACAAAACCUUGUACCUUUCGCAUCAUGGUUUAGCAAGACACCCACCCGACAAAACGAUAUACCAGCCGGAAACCCCGAAACCAAGUGAGCUACCCUCGAGCAGCUAAAUUGAGCCCAUCCCCCUCUGUAGCAAAAGAGCGGAGAGACUUGAAGGUAGAAGUGAAAAGCCUAUCGAACUUGGCAAUAGCUGGCUGCUCAAAACGAAUUUAAGUUCAACCCUAGCCCCAUACACCCUUCCUUCGUUAAGUGACUAGGAAAACUCAUUAGAGGAACAGCCCUAAUGAAACGGGGUACAACCCGAACCUGAAAGAAAUCAAAUCAACCACAACCCGUAGGCCCUAGAGCAGCCCCCACAAAAAAUAGCGUCAAAGCAUCACCCAUUUAAAUCCCAAAAAAUUUCAACACCUUCAGCACACCACCGAGCAACACUAUUUAUAUAGCAAAACUAAUGCUAAAACUACUAACAAGAACCACUUCUCAAGACACACCCACCAGUCAAAACCACCAGACAGCUAUCAGAUAUGGGGCAACCCAACCUACACCAGCCCCACCCCCACUGUGACCCCAACACAGGCGUGUCCACUCAAUGAAAGAUGAAAAGCAAGAAAAGGAACUCGGCAACCACUGACUUCAACUGUUUACCAAAAACAUAGCCUUUAGCCCAAAACAAGUAUUAAAGGUGACGCCUGCCCAGUGAGAGGAGAACCCCCCUUAAACGGCCGCGGUACCCUAACCGUGCAAAGGUAGCAUAAUCACUUGUCCACUAAUUAUGGACUAGAAUGAAAGGCCACAUGAAAGUCAAACUGUCUCUUUUAGCCCAUCAGUGAAACUGAUCUUACAGUCCAAAAGCUGUAAUAAAUCUAUAAGACGAGAAGACCCUGUGAAACUUCAAGAAACCCCACACACUCAAAACUCGGGGGUACUUUCGGUUGGGGCAACCUCGGAAAUAAACCAAACUUCCAAAUAAGAAUGGCCUAAUAAGCCAACUCACCCAGGCCAACACGCCUCACACAUGACCCAGUAAAACUGAUAAAUGAACCAAGCUACUCCAGGGAUAACAGCGCCAUCUUCUUCAAGAGCCCAUAUCAAAAAGAAGGUUUACGACCUCGAUGUUGGAUCAGGACACCCAAGUGGCGCAGCCACUACUAAAGGUUCGUUUGUUCAACGAUUAACAGUCCUACGUGAUCUGAGUUCAGACCGGAGCAAUCCAGGUCGGUUUCUAUCUAUAGCCAAAGCCCCCUCUAGUACGAAAGGACCGAGAAGGCGGAGCCCAUGCCUAAGGUAAGCCCCCAUCAACUAAAAAGACCAAACACUCAACUUUGAAACACAAAACAACAAGUCUAGAUCAGACAU